rnacentral:rRNA from 1 species
CCUACGGGAGGCAGCAGUGAGGAAUAUUGGUCAAUGGGCGAGAGCCUGAACCAGCCAAGUCGCGUGAGGGAGUACUGCCCUAUGGGUUGUAAACCUCUUUUGUCGGGGAGCAAAAGCCGGACGUGUCCGGCUGUGAGAGUACCCGAAGAAAAAGCAUCGGCUAACUCCGUGCCAGCAGCCGCGGUAAUACGGAGGAUGCGAGCGUUAUCCGGAUUUAUUGGGUUUAAAGGGUGCGCAGGCGGAUUUUUAAGUCAGCGGUAAAAUCGUGGGGCUCAACCCCAUCCAGCCGUUGAAACUGGGGAUCUAGAGUGUGUGAGAGGUAUGCGGAAUGCGUGGUGUAGCGGUGAAAUGCAUAGAUAGCACGCAGAACCCCGAUUGCGAAGGCAGCAUACCGGUGCACAACUGACGCUCAGGCACGAAAGCGUGGGUAUCGAACAGGAUUAGAUACCCUAGUAGUC